UUCUGGUUGAUCCUGCCGGAGGCUACCGCUAUUGGAGUUCGAUUAAGCCAUGCGAGUCGAGAGUCUUAGGGACUCGGCGUACCGCUCAGUAACACGUGGGUAACCUGCCCUAUGCUGGGGAAUAACCUCGGGAAACUGAGAAUAAUACCCCAUAGUUCACCACGCCUGGAACGGUGGGUGGAUGAAAGCUCCGGCGGCAUAGGAUGGGCCUGCGACGUAUCAGGUUGUAGGGGGUGUAACGUACCCUCUAGCCAUCAACGCGUACGGGUGUUGGGAGACAUAGCCCGGAGAUGGAUUCUGAGACACGAAUCCAGACCCUACGGGGUGCAGCAGGCGCGAAAACUUGGCAAUGCGAGCAAUCGUGACCAGGGAACUCCAAGUGGCUGGGGUAAUACCCAGUUUUUUCUUGACUCUUCAAAGGUCUUGGAAUAAGGGGUGGGUAAGGACGGUGCCAGCCGCCGCGGUAAUACCGGCGCCUCAAGUGGUAGUCGCUUUUAUUGGGCCUAAAACGUCCGUAGCCGGUCUGGUGCAUUCGUGGGUAAAUCAACCCGCUCAACGGGUUGAAUUCUGCGAGCACGGCCAGACUUGGGACCGGGAGAGGUGUGGGGGUACUCUCAGGGUAGGGGUAAAAUCCUGUCAUCCUGAGAGGACC
rnacentral:rRNA from 1 species